rnacentral:lncRNA from 1 species
AGCGAGCAGUCGCAGGCUUCACCCAACUCCCACACAAUCUGAAGGGCUGGUCUCACUCCCAUUGUGCCACCCCCAACAGCACUGUCUAUUUCCAGGCAGUGGGUGAGCAGGGCUUAAGAACUUGUCCCAGGCUGCCCGCCUCCCAGCCGUGAGAUAAAAGGGCUCUGGUUCUUCCCCCACCUGUGGAGUCUGCAUGCUAGAUUUACACCCUCCCCUGAGUUCUGGCCAGGAGGCCUCUCACCUGGUUCAAAUUGUUACAACGUUCAGCUGGAGACCUCCUACUCCCUGUGGUUAUCUCCCCGCACCUCUGGCCACCCUCCCGAAAGGAUCCCUGUGGUGCCAGGCAGGAAUGGCCUGCCUGGGGACCCAGCAAGCUCCCAGGGCCCUUCCCACUGCCUCCUCCACCCCUGCAUUUCACUCAGCUCUCUAAGUUGACUCAGCUCCAGAUGAGAAAACUGAGGCACAGACGGUUUCAGAGAAUUGCUUGCAGUCUCAAGGAUGGUGGAAGAGCUGGACGGAGAUAAGCAGUCUGGCUGCACAGUUAAUUCUUAACAGUGUGCUUGAUGACCACCUUGUGAAGAAGUUAUUUGCUUCUCCUUUGUCUUCCGUCAUGAUUGUAAAUUUCCUGAGGCCUCCCUCUAGCCAUGCAGAACCGUGAGGAUACAGUGAGAAGACAGCCGUCUGCAAUCAGGAAGGGGACUCUCACCAGACAACAAGUCUUCCAGCACCUUUAUCUUGGACUUCCAGCCUCCAGAAUUAUGACAAGUAUUCACCUUCAGUUUUCCAAGACGAUGGAAAGCACCACUGGUGCAUGUAGUUAACAGCAGCUUGACUCAGACACAGAACUGCAGCCAGGGCCCAUCUGUUCCCAUCACUCCUACUGCCAGUUUUACAACCAGAACUAGAGUGAUUUAUCCAUCUCAGUUUGCUCAGGACUCAGCAGAAGAGGAUCCUGGGACACAAGACUUUCAGUGCUCAAACUUGGAGAGUUCAAGACUUUCAGUGCUCAAACUUGGAGAGUCCUUGGCAAUCACAGUUUGACUAUGACUGAGAAGAUUCCCAGAAAGAAGGACUUUUAAUUCUAAAACUGAGAAAGUCCCAGGGCAUGAGUUGUUCACCUUAUUUGCAACCAACUUCUAAUUCAUCAUGAGGGCUUUGCAUAAACUUAUGCUUUAGGACUAGUAGAGUCAGUCAUUGCUUCAAAUUAAGUAGUGUGGCAAAAGUCUGUUAUUUUUCAGGAAAAAUUAAUGUCUGAUUGUGUUAAUCCUGGUUGCAAUAACUUAUCUCAUUUCCCCACUUUCCUGUGGAAAAAUUCCCAAUUUCUCAACCUGGCAUAUUAAGCAGCUGAAAAGUGGCCUAUGCCUUCAUCCCUGUCACUAUCUCCCUCCACUUGCCACCAUGCCCCAGUCUCUCUGAACUUUGUCAUUCUCCUUCAAGACUGGUGAUAUGGCUUGGCUGUGUCCCCACCCAAAUCUCAUCUUGAAUUGUAGCUCCCCUAAUCCACAAGUGUUGUGAGAGGGAUCCAGUGGGAGGUAAUUGAAUCAUGGGGAUGGGAUUUUCCUGUGCUGUUCUCGUGAUAGUGAAUAAGUCUCAUGAGAUCUGAUAGUUUUAUAAAGGGCAGUUCCCCUGCAUACACUGUCUUGCCUGCCACCAUGUAAGAUGUGCCUUUGCUCCUCCUUUGUCUUCUGCCAUGAUUGUGAGGCCUCCCCAGCCAUGUGGAACUGUGAGUCAUUAAACUUCCUUUCCUUUAUAAAUUACCCAGUCUUGGGUAUUUCUUCAUAGCUGUACAAAAACUGGAGACCUGAGAAAAUAGACAUUUUUUCAUCCCAGAUUCUUUCUUUCCCUGUCUCCCUUACUGCUUCCAUCCAUUCAGCAUAGUCAUGUAAGAAAACUCAAGCAUCACUGACUCUGAAUAACUGUUUUCAUCUUCCUCAAGAAGUUAUCUCCCUAUCCUUUAAGCUCAACUAAUGCUUUGUUUAUAUCUUUAAAAUAGAAUUGAUUACGUACUAUAUCAAAUACAUAUGCUUUAUACCUGUCUCCUUUACUAGACUAUUUCUCUAUUUAGUAGACUUACUUCUCAACAGUGAUAACUUAUUUUUCUUUUUAUCUCUAGUGCUUAAUCUCUUGCCUGGUGUACAAUAAAAUUUGUUGUAUGAACAUCUGAGUGGAUACAUUUUUAUACAUUUUAAACAGAUGGGAAAACUGAAGCUUAGAGUGGUUAAAUGAUUUCACCAAGAUCAAUAGCUAGGAAAUGACUGAAACGGGGCUUGAACCAAAGUCUUCCAAAUCUGACACCCAUGCAUUCAUCACCCCCUCAUUUGUAUACAUGGGUUACCAAUAACACAC